rnacentral:rRNA from 1 species
CAGCGAAACUGCGAAUGGCUCAUUAUAUAAGUUCAUCUUAUUAUAUUUGAUAGUGCCUUACUACUUGGAUAACCGUGGUAAUUCUAGAGCUAAUACAUGCUAAAAACCCCGACUUCGGAAGGGGUGUAUUUAUUAGAUACAAAACCAAUGCCCUUCGGGGCUCUUUGGUGAUUCAUGAUAACUAUACGAAUCGCACGGCCUUGCGCCGGCGAUGGUUCAUUCAAAUUUCUUCCCUAUCAACUUUCGAUGUUUGGGUAUUGGCCAAACAUGGUUGCAACGGGUAACGGAGGGUUAGGGCUCGACCCCGGAGAAGGAGCCUGAGAAACGGCUACUACAUCCAAGGAAGGCAGCAGGCGCGCAAAUUACCCAAUCCCGACUCGGGGAGGUAGUGACAAUAAAUACUGAUACAGGGCCCUUUCGGGCCUUGUAAUUGGAAUCACUACACUUUAAAUCCCUUAACGAGGAACAAUUGGAGGGCAAGUCUGGUGCCAGCAGCCGCGGUAAUUCCAGCUCCAAUAGCGUAUAU